rnacentral:rRNA from 1 species
GAAACCNGAGCUAAUACCGAAUGAACUGACUAGGGCUGCGGCCCAAGUCGGUAAAGCCGCAAGGCGCGAGGGGAUCGGGCUGCGGUCCAUUAGUUUGUUGGUGGGGUAACGGCCUACCAAGGCGACGAUGGAUAGCUGGUCUGAGAGGAUGAUCAGCCACACUGGAACUGAAACACGGUCCAGACUCCCACGGGAGGCAGCAGUUGGGAAUAUUGGACAAUGGGCGAAAGCCUGAUCCAGCAAUCCCGCGUGAGUGAUGAAGGCCCUCGGGUCGUAAAGCUCUUUCAGCAGGGAAGAAGGGCAACUUGACGGUACCUGCAGAAGAAGCACCGGCUAACUCCGUGCCAGCAGCCGCGGUAAUACGGAGGGUGCAAGCGUUGUUCGGAAUCAUUGGGCGUAAAGCGCGUGUAGGCGGUUUUCUAAGUCUGGCGUGAAAGCCCGGGGCUUAACCCCGGAAGUGCGCUGGAUACUGGAUAACUAGAGGACGGGAGGGGGAAGCGGAAUUCCUGGUGUAGGGGUGAAAUCCGUAGAUAUCAGGAGGAACACCAGUGGCGAAGGCGGCUUCCUGGCCCGUAUCUGACGC